CGACACACUAUCAUUAACUGAAUCCAUAGGUUAAUGAGGCGAACCGGGGGAACUGAAACAUCUAAGUACCCCGAGGAAAAGAAAUCAACCGAGAUUCCCCCAGUAGCGGCGAGCGAACGGGGAGCAGCCCAGAGCCUGAAUCAGUAUGUGUGUUAGUGGAAGCGUCUGGAAAGGCGCGCGAUACAGGGUGACAGCCCCGUACACAAAAAUGCACAUGCUGUGAGCUCGAUGAGUAGGGCGGGACACGUGGUAUCCUGUCUGAAUAUGGGGGGACCAUCCUCCAAGGCUAAAUACUCCUGACUGACCGAUAGUGAACCAGUACCGUGAGGGAAAGGCGAAAAGAACCCCGGCGAGGGGAGUGAAAAAGAACCUGAAACCGUGUACGUACAAGCAGUGGGAGCACGCUUAGGCGUGUGACUGCGUACCUUUUGUAUAAUGGGUCAGCGACUUAUAUUCUGUAGCAAGGUUAACCGAAUAGGGGAGCCGAAGGGAAACCGAGUCUUAACUGGGCGUUAAGUUGCAGGGUAUAGACCCGAAACCCGGUGAUCUAGCCAUGGGCAGGUUGAAGGUUGGGUAACACUAACUGGAGGACCGAACCGACUAAUGUUGAAAAAUUAGCGGAUGACUUGUGGCUGGGGGUGAAAGGCCAAUCAAACCGGGAGAUAGCUGGUUCUCCCCGAAAGCUAUUUAGGUAGCGCCUCGUGAAUUCAUCUCCGGGGGUAGAGCACUGUUUCGGCAAGGGGGUCAUCCCGACUUACCAACCCGAUGCAAACUGCGAAUACCGGAGAAUGUUAUCACGGGAGACACACGGCGGGUGCUAACGUCCGUCGUGAAGAGGGAAACAACCCAGACCGCCAGCUAAGGUCCCAAAGUCAUGGUUAAGUGGGAAACGAUGUGGGAAGGCCCAGACAGCCAGGAUGUUGGCUUAGAAGCAGCCAUCAUUUAAAGAAAGCGUAAUAGCUCACUGGUCGAGUCGGCCUGCGCGGAAGAUGUAACGGGGCUAAACCAUGCACCGAAGCUGCGGCAGCGACGCUGAUGCG
rnacentral:rRNA from 1 species